GCUCAUGGUGGCGCAUGCCCGUAAUUCCAGUGACUCUGGAGGCUGAGGCAGGAGGAUCUCAAGUUCAAAGCCAGCCUCGCAACUUAGCGAGGCACUUAGCAACUUAGUGAGACCCUGUCUUUA
rnacentral:sRNA from 1 species